rnacentral:rRNA from 1 species
CGGCGUGCCUAACACAUGCAAGUCGAACGAGAAAGUUUUCUUCGGAAAGCGAGUAAAGAGGCAGACGGGUGAGUAAUGCAUAGGUAAUUUACCUUGGAGUAUGGAAUAACUCACUGAAAAGUGAGCUAAUACCGUAUAUUAUUCUUUUUUGUAAGGAAUUGAAUUAAAGGGGGGGAUCUCCUUGUGAGACCUUCCGCUUCGAGAUGAGCCUAUGUCCUAUUAGCUUGAUGGUGGGGUAAUGGCCUACCAUGGCGAUGAUGGGUAGCCGAGCUGAGAGGCUGAUCGGCCACACUGGAACUGAAACACGGUCCAGACUCCCACGGGAGGCUGCAGUGGGGAAUUUUGCGCAAUGGACGAAAGUCUGACGCAGCGACGCCGCGUGAGGGAUGAAUGCCUUCGGGUUGUAAACCUCUGUCAAAAAGGAUUAAAGUAUACCUGAUAAUACCAUGUAUAUCUGACUUAACUUUUAAAGGAAGUCCCGGCUAACUACGUGCCAGCAGCCGCGGUAAUACGUAGGGGACAAACAUUACUCGGAUUUACUGGGCGUAAAGGGAGCGUAGGCGGUUUAGUAAGUUAGUGGUGAAAGUCCUCGGCUUAACCGAGGGAUUGCCAUUAAAACUGCUAGACUAGAGGGCAGGAGAGGAAAGUAGAAUUCCCAGUGUAGCGGUGGAAUGCGUAGAGAUUGGGAAGAAUACCGGAAGCGAAGGCGGCUUUCUGGACUGUUCCUGACGCUGAGGCUCGAAAGCUAGGGUAGCAAACAGGAUUAGAUACCCUGGUAGUCCUAGCCGUAAACGAUGGAUACUAGACUUUGUGAUUACAGAGUCGUAGUUAACGCGUUAAGUAUCCCGCCUGGGUAGUACGACCGCAAGGUUAAAACUCAAAGGAAUUGACGGGGACCCGCACAAGCAGUGGAGCAUGUGGUUUAAUUCGAUCAACGCGAAAAACCUUACCUGGGCUUGAACUGUAGGUAUUAGCUACCUGAAGGGGAUAGUGAUCCGACUUUGUCGGAACCUAUAGAGGUGCUGCAUGGCUGUCGGCAGCUCGUGUCGUGAGAUGUUGGGUUAAGUCCCGCAACGAGCGAAACCCUUGUUCUUAGUUGUCAGCGAGUAAUGUCGGAAACUUUAGGAAGACUGCCGGUGAUAAAUCGGAGGAAGGUGGGGAUGACGUCAAGUCAGCAUGGCCUUUAUGUCCAGGGCUACACACGUGCUACAAUGGGUGGUACAGCAGGAAGCAAUACCGCGAGGUGGAGCAAAUCCUCAAAACCAUUCUAGUUCGGAUUGCAGGCUGCAAUUCGCCUGCAUGAAGCUGGAAUUUCUAGUAAUUGCGGAUCAGCAUUGCCGCAGUGAAUUCGUUCUCGGGUCUUGUACACACCGCCCGUCACAUCACGAAAGCUGGUUAUGCCAGAAGUCAUUUUUCCAACCAUUAGGAGGAAAGUGCCCAAGGCAAGACUGGUGAUUGGGGUGAAGUCGUAACAAGGUA